UUUACCUUCCCCAUCACAUCAGGUACCUUUAGGUUGGUAGACAUAGUCAUGUGAUCAGGGCACACAUAUUGUUGGUAAAAAUCUGGUUUCUAUGCACAGUCAACACACGCUUUUAGGCACUUACCAUGGAUAAGUCGAGCAAAGAAAGAUAUAGUCAGGAAAUUACAGAAAUAAAUAAUAUUGAUCCUUACACUUUGAAAGCAAGCCAUCAUAAUAAAGAAAAUGAUUUGCUGCCCUCCUUGUGUUAUCCAGAUUUCUUCACUUAUAAUCUUGUUCUACUGAAAGUGCCUACACAAUCACAAAGGAUGAAUUCAAGGCUUACAAGAGUUUAGCAGCUUACAACCAGUUCCUAGAUGGUUGGGUUCAAGAUAUUAUGGCUUUUAAACCACUAGCAAAGGUUCUUCACUCUCAGUGGUUAGCAGAAUAGGUACUGCAGCCCUGGAUAAGUCGAGAUGGUAUUAUUCUAUCAGCCCACUGUUCUUGU